rnacentral:rRNA from 1 species
UACGAAGGGGGCGAGCGUUGUUCGGAUUUACUGGGCGUAAAGGGCGCGUAGGCGCCUUGUCAGUCAGGCGUGAAAGCCCCGGGCUCAACCUGGGAACGGCGCUUGGGACGGCGAGGCUGGAGUUCGGGAGAGGAGAGUGGAAUUCCCAGUGUAGAGGUGAAAUUCGUAGAUAUUGGGAAGAACACCGGUGGCGAAGGCAGCCCCCUGGGCUAACACUGACGCUCAUGCACGAAAGCGUGGGGAGCAA